CUUUUAUUUACACUAACACCGCCCGGGAACUACGAGCAAAGCUUAAAACCCAAAGGACUUGACGGUACCCCAUAUCCCCCUAGAGGAGCCUGUCCUAUAAUCGAUAACCCACGUUAAACCUCACCAUUUUUAGUUAAUCAGCCUGUAUACCUCCGUCGUCAGCUUACCACGUGAGUGUUAAUCAGUGAGCCCAACGUUAUUUCACCAACACGUCAGGUCAAGGUGCAGCAAAUAAAAUGGAAAGAGAUGGGCUACACUUUCUAUAAUAGAAAAAACGAAAAACUACCUAUGAAACCUGGUUAGAAGGCGGAUUUAGCAGUAAAAAGGAAUCAGUAUGUUCAUUUUAACACGGCACUGGGGUGUGUACACACCGCCCGUCACCCUCUUCAAAACCAUAAAUGCAGUCUUUAACAAGCUCUAGUAUAAU
rnacentral:rRNA from 1 species